CCAAAUAAGUGCUAGAUACUGUCAUGAGAUAAAUUUUGAUGGAUAGGAUUUUAAUAAGUUAGCGGUGUAGGUCGAGAUGAUGAAGAGAUUGGUAUGCACAAUGUGUAGACAGAAUAUGAUACAUUUACAUUGACAGGCGUAGGCUCGGCUGGAGCGCUUUAGUCUUUUUAUUGAUUAAGCUUAACACUUCUGCUCAUUAAUUAUUACUUUGUAUUCAUCAAAAUUAUUUAUUUUGUACUAUACUGUAGCAUUUCGACGGACACAAACAGAGACGGCCAUGGUGCUAGCUGAUAGCACUUGCUAACUUAAAAAGUUUGCAUACCUUUUAUCGAAUUAUAUGAGAGUUUCUUGCCAACUAUUGAGCCUACCAGUUUUAGAUCUAUGUCACUAAGGCCACUACUCAACUUCAGGAUAUGCGGUACAAGGGAUUCGAGGCAGAUUGAGGAAGGAGCCGGAGCAGGUGGUGGAUUAAGGAAGGAGCUGGAGUAGAGACGGAUUAGAGCUGCUUAAGUGCAGGAUGGAAGGGAACUUAAGUGCAUGUUUUCGGAUUGUAUAUGAACUAAGUUCCCGCUGAAAAAUGGUGACCGCGUUUAGAGCUGGCAUUGGUGCUUGGUCAGACAUUGUGUCUUUGUAACUACACUAAGUUCCCUGGUUUCUGCUUAAAAAUGUUUACAAGAUGACAUUUCUAAAUAUGACCUAGAAGCCCUCAAACCAGAUCAAGCUCGGUACAUUGGAAUCAAAAGAAUGACAAGGUUCUAACUGUGUUCACAUGAUUUUGAACAGGCCCAUGGAGAUAAGCCCUAAUGUGCACCCAAGGUUCAGGGAGGUGAUCCAGGUUUCCAAGAAGGUUACAAGGUUAGUUGCUUGUGCAAUUCAGUUCAAAUGUAGCUUGUUGCUGGAAGGAGUAGAGUUUGAUUAGAUCGGAUCAGGAUUAUUUUGUAUUUUGGUAGUGGUUAACUAUGGGAUAUGCACCAGCCAUUUUUCUAUGCAUAUUUUUCUGUCCAUGUAUGUUGCAUCCUUUUGACUUAUGUAUGAUGUGUUCAACGAUGUCAUUGGUGACUCAUGUGAAGUUGCUUUGUUUGAUUCAAGUGUAAUUGGACCGUGGCAGCCAUGGAAGAUAUAUGCAUGAAGCCAUGAGUAGUGAGCAGCUUACCUAUUUAUUAUUGUUGGCCUUUUCAGUUGGAUUUAGUAUAGCUGCCUCUCAGAUGAUGAACAGAGACUAACAUUAUAUCUUUAUUCUUGCAUCUUACACCCUCAGCUUGAGAAAAACAAACCUUAUCAUUUUCAUUUGUAGAAUUAAUAUCAUUAUUUAAGGGAUCAGUUGGCACUGAUGCCUAAAAUGUGUUGUUUUUUCGCAUGCUUAAUUGUACACAGCUAGAUAGACAUGCGUAAGUAUUUAGGUUGAUGCACAAGUCAAUUUACAGUAGGAUUAUGAGGGCAAUCAACUGAGCUCCAACAACCAUCAAACUGAAUACUUAUGUUUGUUGAGUUUAUGUUAAUAAUCAUACUUGAGACCUUAGCAAAGCAAUCUGUAGAGCUUGUAGUGAAAGCAAGGCUUAUCAUUCAGGUUACUUGUAAUGACCUGUGACAGAAAAGCAAUCUAUAGAAAUUCUGUUUGCGUGAUCCCUAUGCCUUCUCUAUAUGGUGUUCCAUCUAGGUUAACUGUUGUGAUGGAACCUUUCAAGGAUGGUUUAGUCUGGUCGAUCUUAUCAAUGUACGAGGGAAAGUAUGCAUUCCAGAUCAAUGUAGAUGUCAAGCUGGAAUAAAAACAUUCAAUAGCUUCUCAGUAUGGACAUUGUUCUAAUGAUUACAUUACUUCCCCAUGGUUUUAGCUUGUCACAGAUGGAGAAUCAUCAUCCAGCUACAUCUCCCUUAGAAUCAGGGAAACGUUCUCCAUUUAAAGACCAAACAUGCAUAAUCUAUUUAGAGUUUCAGUUUGUUUUUUGUCUGACAUCUCUGUUGCCUCUGUUAUAUUACUACAUUGCUAUUAAAACAAGGAAGAAUGGCCUGAUGUUGCCUUUGAAUCUGAUUGUCGGGUACUGGUGGAGAUGUGGAACUCAAAAAAACAUAAUAGAUAGAGAUUAUCGGCUUCCUGGCAGAAAUUGAGUUGAGCCAAGCUUUUUGUUCUUUUACUCUGUCUUUUCUUCUUAGAGAGGUUAAUUUUUAACACACCUAUGUACAAACCUGCCCUGCAGGUUAGGGACAGGAGGCUAUGUCGUAAUUGUAAUGCUAGCCCUUCAGAAUAAAGCUAGCUCCUUUGAUUGUCAAAAGUGGCCCCUUAAAGUUGUACACUUCAGAAUAUUGGUUCAAUGCCAUUAAUUUUUUUAUGUGAGAUAUUUGUUUUGUAUUUUAGUAGUCGUUCAAGUGUGAGUUAUGUUUAUUUGUAACACGUAAUUGACUAUCAGAAUUUCAUGAUACCUUGUCAAGGCCAUUUGCUGGUUUAUAUAAGCAUUUGGUUAGCAACCUCA